UGGUGCAUCACAGAGAACAGUUAUUUCCAGAAAUUUUUACUUAUAGAGUAAGACACAGUCUCUGUGAGCAUAGCUCUGAAUUAUAACCCUUACAAGAAAAAAAGGACAUCUGUUCAGGCCAUUAACAUUAACUUCACGGAAAAAACUUCCAACAAGAGACUACAAUGCUUUCUUGAAUAAAUUGAUGUUAUGGGGUUUUAAUGGAUGUCUGAAAUAGAUGUGAGAAUUAAAGAGAAUAUAAUAACUAGGUUUUCUGUUAAGCUUUACUUUCAUUGAUAUAAAAUUCCGUCUUUUAAAUGACUGCAUAAAAGUAAACUGUAUUUUUCAAGCUAGCUUUAAUGAUCUAUAUCAGCUGUAUUGUGUUGCAGAAGGAAAGCUAUAAGUAUUACUUUAGCUGAUGGGUAAAGGUAUCAUCUGUCAGCUCUGAGAGAUGAAUACAUUCAGCUGGAUUAAACAAUCACUUGGAAGACUAGGGCAGGGAAGUGUUAGAUGGGGCCAAGAGAUUUUAGGGCUUGUUGCAUAUCAGCCCCAUCCUAUUACAAAUUAACCUAGAAUUAAGUCUGUGCUGAGUGGUUGUGAUCUCCAAAGACCAUGCAGGCUGAGAUUAUGAGAUUGUAUUUACCUCCUGCCCCUAGCUCAUGCCUGGUAAACUCUGAACUGCAUCUAAAGGAGAGGGAAACAGAGCUUCAAUAUGUUAUAGCAGCUUCAGUUCAAGACAUUGGUCUCACCAGGUGUUAGCAAGUUCUCAUUUUCUCUGCUUCCACUUCAAUGCCAUGGAUGAAGAGAGAUAGUGGUCCUGAAAUGAGCUUGCAUGGGUUUUGCAUAACAUUCAGAAGUACCUGGAAAAAUAGCAAGAGAGAUGAUUGAAUACCCACAUAGAGGAGGUAUAUCUUGCUAUAUUUUUCAGAACAGCUCUUCGUAAUCAUCCAUAUAAACCAAACAUCAUGACACAACGGGGAACAUCUCUCUUCUUAUGGAUGUAGCAACAAGAAAUUCUGAUCUCAGUGAUGAAAGAAGGCCAUUUGUAAUCAUCUGCCUAUAGUUUGCUGCAUUGUAUUACCAGUGGGUGUAUGUAAUCCUUCACGAUGGGUACUUUAUUGACCUGUGCCACUUUUCACAAGAGUUGGCAAAUACUUUCCCUUUCCAUUCUUCUGGAAACUAUUUUCACCAGUUUUUCUUUUUACAUAUAUUAUGUGUACCAUGUUUGUGAAACAUCCUUAUGCAUCCUGCUCCAGGAAGAGAACUGUGCUCUUGGUCUGGCACCCAAAUCUCACUGUAUUGAUGUUGAUUAAGGCUUAUCUGAAGUUUAGAGGAUUUGCUGUUGCCAUUUAGUAUUAGUAUUCUUGCCAUCUACCUUUAUGCAUGGUCUUUUGUUUGCUGCCUUUUCUUGGUGUUUAUCUUUUAUUUUCCACAGCUUAAUCAUACAAGGUGAGCUAGAAUGAAUGCCUGGCUUUGUUUCCUCCAAAAGACACUUCUGCCCUAAGGAAUAAUGCAGGCUAUUGCAAAUCCUGCAAUCACAGAAGCUAUGUUUCUGCACCAGCUGAUGCCCAGCUUGAUAUGGACCAAAUAGACAGAAUUUAUGUUGUUGGAGUCUGGGAAAUCAUGCUAUUGAAUCGCUCAUCUCUACUCACAAAGAUUGGGCACGGACAAGCAGACUGUCACCAGCAGUUAGAGUCAGGGUUUUACCAUCCAUAGUAACUGUAGAUGCACCCUCCUGAAGGGAAAGAAGAGACGGACAGCUUUUAGUUUUCCAUGGCUUAUCACCAGCAGAAAGAAAACGCUGCAGGUAAGUAUGGAAAUCUUUCCUACUGAAAGAACACUUCAAACAAAACACUGUUUUACAAGGCCUAGCUAAAUAUUCAGCUGAUCUUCGCCAUCUGACGCUAUUAGCAUCAAUAAAAACAUGCUUCAUGGUUCGUUGUUCCUCAUCAUAAAGCAGCAACCUAUUGCCUGAUGCCUUAGGGAUGUGCUGCUACCAAUCUAACUGAGCAGUCUGCAAGUUGGUACAACUCUCUGGAAACUCACUGGGAUAACCUGCUGGAGUACUUCAAGCUCCUCUUCUACUUUCCUGAUUCCUAAUACCUUUCUAAGUCUUGAAAAGAAGUUCACAAGUCAGCAGGGAGCUGACAGAAAUCACUAAUAGGCAUCUGUCUACACUGGAACAGACUCAUCAUUAUCUUGUCAAGCAGAGGAACCAGAUUCCUGCCAGCAGCAAGGUCUUGAUUGCACAGGCUGCAGUGAGCUGCAGUGUAAACAAGUGUCUUUCAAGAAUAUUAUGUCUUUAAUUAGUAUUUGAUAGUCCCUGUGAAUUUCAACAGAACAGGAACUGAUAGAAAUACCUGCCUUACGAGCUAGUUUCCCUUGUGUAAAGGGAAACCAGCUUUUGUCUGCUGUUUUUCCCUUGGGCUGCAAGAGUUUCUUUGAAGCCAGGAGAAAGAUGGGCAUCUGGAUCAACUACCGCUGUGCUUUAGCAUAAAAAUGUUUCUGGAUUUUUAUUAGCUUUGUCUACCUAAUUCCAGCUGGAGUUCAGUAUGAGGACAAAAACUUCAAGGCAAGAACUAAUAGGUGACGGUUUUUAUCACCCAGAGGCAUUCUGAUGUAUUUGCAAGGUACUCCCUAGCAGGAAUCAAAAUCCCCACCUAGAACUGAUAGAGGAUGGCAGUAGUUCUGUUCUUAACAUACAAAAUGAGGGAAAAGAGGGAUUAUUUUUAUGGUGGCAGUUGUUUACAGGAUUUUUUUUUCAUGAUAGUUUAAAGCCAAAUGAUGAUUCCUGUCAAUGGCUUCUGUGAGAAGGAAGGUAAUCAUUAAUUUUUGUUGUUGGUAGUAAGAGGCUUUAGAACUGUGCAGUUUGCUCUGAAAUGUGAAUUCAUGGGUUAAUAUGGGUGAAUUGUCACAUACCAGCUGCCAUAUCCAGAUAUCUGAAUUACUUUUACUUUUUUCAGUUGUUCCUGGUCCAUAAGCUAUAACCUAGAAAAAAAAGGAAGGAAAAGUAAUGGAUUCAUCCCAGUGACUGAAGUGUACACAUUCAUCUUUCUACAGCAUUUAAACAUUCUAUUUUUAAAGAAAAAUGUUCACAGAGGAUGACAUUAUUUUUACAGACAUUAAAAUUCACAUUACGUUUGGUAUUCUCAUAUUGAUUCCUACUGAUAAAAAGGGAACUGAUCACACCUGCCACUCCUUAUGCUCUUCUGCAUCCUCACUUAUCUACUCCUUCUGCCUCCUCCCACUCUCUGCUUUGCAUCUAUAUCCUUCCUGCUUCUGUUCUUGGAACAGGCGCUUCUUCCUCAUGAACUCAGGGCCCUGUCAAGAGUAUGUUGAA